rnacentral:rRNA from 1 species
CCCAGACUCCUACGGGAGGCAGCAGUGGGGAAUAUUGCACAAUGGGGGAAACCCUGAUGCAGCGACGCCGCGUGGAGGAAGAAGGUCUUCGGAUUGUAAACUCCUGUCCUUGGGGACGAUAAUGACGGUACCCAAGGAGGAAGCACCGGCUAACUACGUGCCAGCAGCCGCGGUAAUACGUAGGGAGCGAGCGUUGUCCGGAUUUACUGGGUGUAAAGGGUGCGUAGGCGGCUUGGCAAGUCAGUAGUGAAAUCCAUGGGCUUAACCCAUGAACUGCUAUUGAAACUGUCGAGCUUGAGUGAAGUAGAGGUAGGCGGAAUUCCCGGUGUAGCGGUGAAAUGCGUAGAGAUCGGGAGGAACACCAGUGGCGAAGGCGGCCUACUGGGCUUUAACUGACGCUGAGGCACGAAAGCGUGGGUAGCAAACAGGAUUAGAUACCCUGGUACCA